CUGGGGGCCCACUGAGCCAGGUCGGGCCUUGUCCUGAGCCGGGGCCCUGUAGAUCAGCGUGUCUUCCCGCCGUUGCGGCCUGGGGUGCUCAAAUCCGGCUCCAGGGAUACUCUGGCCGCCCCAGCUCUGGAUUCUGGAGAUCGGGGCGGAAAGUGGGUAGAGGCAGAAAUUUCCAGUUCGGGCUCGGCAGCGCCCCUCUCUAACGCGUCAUCCCGUUUUACAAGAAAGAACCCUUCUGUUGCGUAGGCGACCAACCUGGCUGCGGCCCACUGUGCACAAGUUCUCCGUGGCGCAAAAUUCUACCGACUUUCUCCCUACGUUCUCGAAUUUCCGCGUACCUUGAGCAACUGAGCAACGCUCGCCUGGGAAGGGCAGCCCGGAUUGGACCCACAGGCCAUAAACAAGCAGCCGCCGCUGGUGGCCCGCGUGGGUAGGGACACAAGCCUCAGGACUGGGACCUCAUGCUUCUUGCUCACUGCUGUCACCUCUGACUCUGGAGAGCAUCGACUGACUGCUAUGAAUGGUCCAUCCAGUGGCCUGACUCGUGGCAGCCAACGCGUGAACAACCAGUCAUGUGCCAGGCUCUGCUCUAGGCAGAGGUUCAGAGGCGAACAGGACAGACAAGCUUCCCGCCCCCCUCCACCUCCUGGAGGAGGUUUACAUUCUGUUGGGAGUGCCGACAAUAAACAAAGAAACUAACAAUAAGCAAUAUUCCUGCCUUCGUGGAUCUUACCUUCCAGUAAAGCCAUGAGCCCCAACCUUACGUUUGUUAGUGAUUCAUUUGCUAAUUGGUUAAACAAUUACAUUCAACAAACCCUGCCUGAGCACCCUCUACGGACCUCUGUGAGGUGUGGGGAUAAACAGACUGUGUUUACAGUAAGUCUGGGUUCAGUGAAGGAGAGUCAAGGAGAACCGUAAGACAGCUGAGUAAGUCCUCGACAAGAGGGAUGCCUGGAGUUGCUAUGAGAGGAAGGGACCCCCAGCUCACUCUGGAACCACUGGAGGGCUGAAUUGAUUUCUGCCUACAACUGUUAUUUAUAGUCAGAAAAUGCAAAAACAUAUAUGCAGAGGUUUUAAAAGGAUGGCUGUUUGGUUUCUCGUCUUCUAACUCAUAGGAUACUGUGAAGUUGUUCUUGUGCAGCAGAAUCAGCUGGAGAGCUUGUUAACAACACACACUGGUGAGUCCUGUCCUCAGGGAUUCUGAUUCAGAAGGUCUGCAGUGGGCCCAGUAAUAUGCACUUUUUAAAAAGUUUUAUUAUUAAAAAAGUUCAAAUAAAUGUAAACGAAGAGGGAGUAAUACAAUGAACCUCCAUGGAACCAUAAAGUAGCUUCAAUGAAUAUCAACAUGUGACCAGUGUUGUUUCAUCUAUAAUUCCACCCUAUUAUCCGCCCCGCAACCCCAUGCACAGGUUAAUUUCAAAGCAAAUUCCAGACAUCACAUACUUUCAUCCAUAAAUACUCCUAGUCUAUAUCUCUAAAAUAGAUUUUUUUUUAAAUCACUAUCAUAUUACCAUUAGCACAGCUAAACAUCAACAACAAUUCCAUAACCAUAAAAAAUUUACAGUUCAAAUUUGCCUUAUUGUCUGAUAACUUUUUUAAAAGUUGGUUUGCAGGGGCUGGCCCUGUGGCUGGGUGGUUAAGUUUGCACACU